rnacentral:lncRNA from 1 species
CUCAGUCAUACGGGGCUGAGAAGUCUCAUACCGGAAGGGGUUAUAAGGUAUAGUUCAACCUCAUACCGGAUGGAGUAUUGAAGCGGUAGUAUGUUUGGCGUCCAUUAUCAGACGAGGUAUAGGGACGGUCGAUUAAUUGAUAAAUUAGAUAUUAUGUCCACUCAUAGGGAGAACCCAUAUGAACCCCCAGAGGUACUGAUGAAAAGAUAAAAGGUAAC